UCCUUAGCUCUUUUUUUAUUAUCAUUUUCCUCAGCACAAAUAAGUCUUUAUAUCUUUCACAUAAUUAUCAUUUGUUGACUUUACACACAAAUCGAGAUGUCAAACUUACAACCCAAUGCAACAGUUGAAGUGCAUUUCUUGUACAAGAUUAUAUUUUUCUAAAAUUUGGGUUAAAAAAAGAUCCAGAUCAGAAAUAUCUGAGCGCUGGUUUUCAGUCCUGGUAUCAAAUAUUAUGGCAAAGACUGUUUGGUAGAUAAAGUCUAAAUGUUGGGGUUAAGAGUCAUGUAUUGUAGCUGAAAGCACUGAAAACUAAUUUUAAACAAAAAUUGAAGCGAUUUUAAAAAGUGUGAAAUUUAUACACCACAGAAAAAAAGUAUUUUUUGCUUUUUUUCUGACAUAUCCAUAAAUUUAAGUUGACAUUAUGGAGGCUGUAAAAUUAGAGGUUAUAAAAGCAUGUGUUUUAAUUUCAUUAAAGUGCUCAGCUCUAAGUGGGAUGAUGGUUUAUUUCUGAAAACAUUUUGCUUGAAUAAAAAAAAAAAGUUACUUGAA